rnacentral:rRNA from 1 species
GUACGGGAGGCAGCAGUGGGGAAUUUUGCGCAAUGGGGGAAACCCUGACGCAGCAACGCCGCGUGAGUGAUGAAGGCCCUUGGGUCGUAAAGCUCUGACAGAGGGAAAGAAAUGUGGGUGGCUAAUAUCCAUUCCACUUGACGGUACCCUCAAAGGAAGCACCGGCUAACUCCGUGCCAGCAGCCGCGGUAAUACGGAGGGUGCGAGCGUUGUUCGGAUUUAUUGGGCGUAAAGCGCGUGUAGGCGGUUUUAUAAGUCUGAUGUGAAAGCCCCGGGCUCAACCUGGGAAGUGCAUUGGAUACUGUAAGACUUGAAUACGGGAGAGGGAAGUGGAAUUCCUGGUGUAGGAGUGAAAUCCGUAGAUAUCAGGAGGAACACCGGUGGCGAAGGCGGCUUCCUGGACCGAUAUUGACGCUGAGACGCGAAAGCGUGGGUAGCAAACAGGAUUAGAUACCCUGGU